rnacentral:rRNA from 1 species
GACGAACGCUGGCGGCGUGCCUAAUACAUGCAAGUAGAACGCUGAAGAGAGGAGCUUGCUCUUCUUGGAUGAGUUGCGAACGGGUGAGUAACGCGUAGGUAACCUGCCUGGUAGCGGGGGAUAACUAUUGGAAACGAUAGCUAAUACCGCAUAAAAUGGAUUAUCGCAUGAUAAUCGAUUGAAAGGUGCAAAUGCAUCACUACCAGAUGGACCUGCGUUGUAUUAGCUAGUUGGUGGGGUAACGGCUCACCAAGGCGACGAUACAUAGCCGACCUGAGAGGGUGAUCGGCCACACUGGGACUGAGACACGGCCCAGACUCCUACGGGAGGCAGCAGUAGGGAAUCUUCGGCAAUGGACGGAAGUCUGACCGAGCAACGCCGCGUGAGUGAAGAAGGUUUUCGGAUCGUAAAGCUCUGUUGUAAGAGAAGAACGAGUGUGAGAGUGGAAA